UGGGGAAUAUUGGACAAUGGGCGAAAGCCUGAUCCAGCCAUGCCGCGUGUGUGAAGAAGGUCUUCGGAUUGUAAAGCACUUUAAGUUGGGAGGAAGGGCAUUAACCUAAUACGUUAGUGUUUUGACGUUACCGACAGAAUAAGCACCGGCUAACUCUGUGCCAGCAGCCGCGGAAAUACAGAGGGUGCAAGCGUUAAUCGGAAUUACUGGGCGUAAAGCGCGCGUAGGUGGUUUGUUAAGUUGGAUGUGAAAGCCCCGGGCUCAACCUGGGAACUGCAUCCAAAACUGGCAAGCUAGAGUACGGUAGAGGGUGGUGGAAUUUCCUGUGUAGCGGUGAAAUGCGUAGAUAUAGGAAGGAACACCAGUGGCGAAGGCGACCACCUGGACUGAUACUGACACUGAGGUGCGAAAGCGUGGGGAGCAAACA
rnacentral:rRNA from 1 species